rnacentral:rRNA from 1 species
CCUACGGGUGGCAGCAGUGAGGAAUAUUGGUCAAUGGACGAGAGUCUGAACCAGCCAAGUAGCGUGAAGGAUGACUGCCCUAUGGGUUGUAAACUUCUUUUAUAUGGGAAUAAAAUGUUCCACGUGUGGGAUUUUGUAUGUACCAUAUGAAUAAGGAUCGGCUAACUCCGUGCCAGCAGCCGCGGUAAUACGGAGGAUCCGAGCGUUAUCCGGAUUUAUUGGGUUUAAAGGGAGCGUAGGUGGAUUGUUAAGUCAGUUGUGAAAGUUUGCGGAUCAACCGUAAAAUUGCAGUUGAAACUGGCAGUCUUGAGUACAGUAGAGGUGGGCGGAAUUCGUGGUGUAGCGGUGAAAUGCUUAGAUAUCACGAAGAACGCCGAUUGCGAAGGCAGUUCACUGGACUGCAACUGACACUGAGGCUCGAAAGUGUGGGUAUCAAACAGGAUUAGAUACCCGGGUAGUC